rnacentral:rRNA from 1 species
UACGGAGGAUGCGAGCGUUAUCCGGAUUUAUUGGGUUUAAAGGGUGCGUAGGCGGGCUUUUAAGUCAGCGGUAAAAAUUCGGGGCUCAACCCCGUCCGGCCGUUGAAACUGGGGGUCUUGAGUGGGCGAGAAGAAGGCGGAAUGCGUGGUGUAGCGGUGAAAUGCAUAGAUAUCACGCAGAACCCCGAUGCGAAGGCAGCCUUCCGGCGCCCUACUGACGCUGAGGCACGAAAGUGCGGGGAUCGAACAGG